rnacentral:misc_RNA from 1 species
CACAACUCAAAUGCUGUAUUUAUGAGAUUGAUAUCGAAAGUAAACUGUUAAUCUAAUCUUAGUACAUCUGAUUCCCUUCAGAAAGAUUCAAUUUAGGAUGCCUUGAACUGCUCGUCGAACCAGUGUCAAAAACACGAUCGAGUCAUGAUUGUUACAGGAAAUCAACUAUACAUUUCUAAUCUGUGAUUAUUUGUAGUUUGUUAUAUA